UAAGUAAGCUUUGAUCCAGAGAUUUCCGAAUGGGGAAACCCAGCAUGAGUUAUGUCAUGUUAUCGAUAUGUGAAUACAUAGCAUAUCAGAAGGCACACCCGGAGAACUGAAACAUCUUAGUACCCGGAGGAAGAGAAAGAAAAUUCGAUUCCCUUAGUAGCGGCGAGCGAAACGGGAAGAGCCCAAACCAACAAGCUUGCUUGUUGGGGUUGUAGGACACUCUAUACGGAGUUACAAAGGACGACAUUAGACGAAUCAUCUGGAAAGAUGAAUCAAAGAAGGUAAUAAUCCUGUAGUCGAAAAUGUUGUCUCUCUUGAGUGGAUCCUGAGUACGACGGAGCACGUGAAAUUCCGUCGGAAUCUGGGAGGACCAUCUCCUAAGGCUAAAUACUCUCUAGUGACCGAUAGUGAACCAGUACCGUGAGGGAAAGGUGAAAAGCACCCCGGAAGGGGAGUGAAAUAGAACCUGAAACCGUGUGCUUACAAGUAGUCAGAGCCCGUUAAUGGGUGAUGGCGUGCCUUUUGUAGAAUGAACCGGCGAG
rnacentral:rRNA from 1 species